UAUGUAUAUACACACACAUGUAUAUAUGCUGUGCUCAUUUUAGGAGUACAUGACAUUGGUGUAAACAAGAGUUCAUAAAAUAUGUUGAUAUUGCUUGACAUUUACUAUGCCCCACUUCAAAACGGACCUCAGAGGAAAAGUGAAGGAGUUUUGGUUAUGAAGGGGCGGGGCUGUUUUCACACCCCAAAACGUCACAGUUACGUUGCAGGAAACGAGUUUCUACAGCUACCCUCCCCCACAUCACACUCGCUGACCAUCAAUUAGGAAACGCGCGCUUUGCUACCUGCACAAAAGGAAGGCGUUGAGAAGAGUGAGCGUACGAGUCAGCAUCAUCGAGAAAACCCCAGAAAGUGACAAAUACUUCAGAAUUAAAGCAGAUGGACAAUCCCACUGAAGAUGGUGAUUAUUCUGACUCAAGUCUUUUUGGAUCAGAUGAGGAAUACAAACCAACUAAGACAUCCUCUGAGUCGAGUGAUGACGAGGAGAUAUUCCAUCCAAAGGUAGAAAAAUUGUUCUUAUGAUACAUCCAGUGAAGACUCUACAAGUCAUCAGACAUAUGAAGCAGAGGAGCACAGUCAUGUCUGCAAUUCGUAAAGAAGCCCCAAAAAGGGAAAAGCAUCUCUCCAAAAGAGGGAAGACUGAAUUGGAUGAUUCGAGUCCAGGCGGGGACCCUGGCGGUCCGAUCCUUGGCUGCAGAAGCUAGCUCUUGGGACAUGGAAUGUCACCUCUCUGGCAGGGAAGGAGCCCGAGCUGGUGUGUGAGGCAGAGAAUUUCCGACUGGAUAUAGUCGGACUUGCCUCCACACACAGCCUGGGUUCUGGUACCAGUUCUCUCGAGAGGGGUUGGACUCUCUUCCACUCUGGAGUUGCUCACGGUGAGAGGCGCAGAGCAGGUGUGGGCAUACUCAUUGCCCCCCGCCUCAGUGCCUGUACAUUGGGGUUCACACCGGUAGACGAGAGGGUUGCCUCCCUCCGCCUUCGGGUGGGUGGACGGGUCCUGACUGUUGUUUGUGCAUAUGCACCAAACAGCAGCUCCGCAU